rnacentral:tRNA from 1 species
ACUUAAAUAGCUUAUUUAAUAGAGUUUGAUAUUGAAGAUAUUAAGGAGAUUAAUUUUAAUCUUUAAGUA